AAAAAAAAAAGAAAGAAAAAAAAAGAAAAGAAAAAGAAAAAGAUUUCUGCAUAGGUGAUAACAUUAUCGGGUUACUCUAUUAAUUUGCUUUCUUCUAGUUCCAGGAAAUUGUUAGUGGUAUCUUCUAGAUAAUUUCUUAUUGUUUAAUUCUUGGAAAUUGUUACAUUAUAUAAUAUUCUCUGGUACAUAUUUCUACAUGUUCAUGGCUAUUAUAUAAAUUCAGAUUCAGAGUACCAUUUCAG
rnacentral:misc_RNA from 1 species